CAGAGGUCCCAAGCGUUGUUCGGAUUCACUGGGCGUAAAGGGUGCGUAGGUGGUCAGGUAAGUCGGAUGUGAGAUCUCCGAGCUCAACUCGGAAACUGCAUUGGAAACUACCUGGCUCGAGGGUUGGAGGGGGGACUGGAAUGCUUGGUGUAGCAGUGAAAUGCGUAGAUAUCAAGCGGAACACCAGUGGCGAAGGCGAGUCCCUGGACAACUCCUGACACUGAUGCACGAAAGCUAGGGGAGCAAACAAGAUUAGAUACCCUGGUAGUCCUAGCCGUAAACGGUGCACGUUUGCUGUAAAAGGAAUCGACCCCUUUUGUGGCGUAGCCAACGCGUUAAACGUGCCGCCUGGGAAGUACGGUCGCAAGAUUA
rnacentral:rRNA from 1 species